rnacentral:rRNA from 1 species
GAUGAACGCUGGCGGCGUGCCUAAUACAUGCAAGUCGAGCGAACAGACGAGGAGCUUGCUCCUCUGACGUUAGCGGCGGAAGGGUGAGUAAAACGUGGAUAACCUACCUAUAAGACUGGGAUAAAUUCGGGAAACCGGAGCUAAUACCGGGUAAUAUAUUGAACCGCAUGGUUCAAUAGUGAAAGACGGUUUUGCUGUCACUUAUAGAUGGAUCCGCGCCGCAUUAGCUAGUUGGUAAGGUAACGGCUUACCAAGGCGACGAUGCGUAGCCGACCUGAGAGGGUGAUCGGCCACACUGGAACUGAGACACGGUCCAGACUCCUACGGGAGGCAGCAGUAGGGAAUCUUCCGCAAUGGGCGAAAGCCUGACGGAGCAACGCCGCGUGAGUGAUGAAGGUCUUCGGAUCGUAAAACUCUGUUAUUAGGGAAGAACAAAUGUGUAAGUAACUAUGCACGUCUUGACGGUACCUAAUCAGAAAGCCACGGCUAACUACGUG